GAUGAACGCUGGCGGCGUGCCUAAUACAUGCAAGUCGAGCGAACAGACGAGGAGCUUGCUCCUCUGACGUUAGCGGCGGACGGGUGAGUAACACGUGGAUAACCUACCUAUAAGACUGGGAUAACUUCGGGAAACCGGAGCUAAUACCGGAUAAUAUAUUGAACCUCAUGGUUCAAUAGUGAAAGACGGUUUUGCUGUCACUUAUAGAUGGAUCCGCGCCGCAUUAGCUAGUUGGUAAGGUAACGGCUUACCAAGGCAACGAUGCGUAGCCGACCUGAGAGGGUGAUCGGCCACACUGGAACUGAGACACGGUCCAGACUCCUACGGGAGGCAGCAGUAGGGAAUAUUACGCAAUGGGCGAAAGCCUGACGGAGCAACGCCGCGUGAGUGAUGAAGGUCUUCGGAUCGUAAAACUCUGUUAUUAGGGAAGAACAAAUGUGUAAGUAACUAUGCACGUCUUGACGGUACCUAAUCAGAAAGCCACGGCUAACUACGUG
rnacentral:rRNA from 1 species